rnacentral:rRNA from 1 species
GACGAAGCCUUCGGGCUUAGUGGCGGACGGGUGAGUAACGCGUGAGAAUCUCCCUUCAGGAUGGGGACAACCGUUGGAAACGACGGCUAAUCCCCAAUGUGCCGAGAGGUGAAAGGGUUUCCGCCUGAAGAAGAGCUCGCGUCCGAUUAGUUAGUUGGUGAGGUAAGAGCUCACCAAGGCAGCGAUCGGUAGCUGGUCUGAGAGGAUGAGCAGCCACACUGGGACUGAGACACGGCCCAGACUCCUACGGGAGGCAGCAGUGGGGAAUUUUCCGCAAUGGGCGAAAGCCUGACGGAGCAACGUCGCGUGUGGGAAGAAGGCUCUUGGGCUGUCAACCACUUUUCUCAGGGAAGAAGUCCUGACGGUACCUGAGGAAUCAGCCUCGGCUAACUCCGUGCCAGCAGCCGCGGUAAUACGGAGGAGGCAAGCGUUAUCCGGAAUUAUUGGGCGUAAAGCGUCCGCAGGGGGCGCAUCAAGUCUGCUGUUAAAGGCUGGAGCUUAACUCCGGUAGAGCAGUGGAAACUGGUGCGCUAGAGGGCGACAGGGGUAGAGGGAAUUCCCAGUGUAGCGGUGAAAUGCGUAGAGAUUGGGAAGAACACCGGUGGCGAAAGCGCUCUACUGGGUCGCACCUGA